rnacentral:antisense_RNA from 2 species
CUUGAUGGAACCCAGCCACAGCGGCUGCCCCUCGGGCCGCUCCUGCCCGUAGGUCUCCAGGAGCGCCUGCGCCUC